rnacentral:rRNA from 1 species
AUUGAACGCUGGCGGCAGGCCUAACACAUGCAAGUCGAACGAGUGGCGGACGGGUGAGUAAUGUCUGGGAAACUGCCCGAUGGAGGGGGAUAACUACUGGAAACGGUAGCUAAUACCGCAUACCAUCGGAUGUGCCCAGGUGGGAUUAGCUAGUAGGUGGGGUAACGGCUCACCUAGGCGACGAUCCCUAGCUGGUCUGAGAGGCUGACCAGCCACACUGGAACUGAGACACGGUCCAGACUCCUACGGGAGGGCGCAGUGGGGAAUAUUGCACAAUGGGCGCAAGCCGUAUGCAGCCAUGCCGCGUGUAGGAAGAAGGCCGUCGGGUGGUAAAGUACUGUCAGCGGGGAUGCGUUACCCGCAGAAGAAGCACCGGCUAACUCCGGGUCAGCAGCCGCGGUAAUAC